GCAGGUAGUUCAGAUGGUAGAACAUGAGAUUCUUAAUCUUAGGGUUGUGGGUUCGAAGAUUCCUGCAUUGCA